GACUUAGCGCCCCAAAAAACUCAGUGAUCAAGAUAAAUAGUAUUCUGAUGCAAUGUUUUACAAUUUUAAAGUUAAUGCAAAAACAUUAAUUAAACAUAAUUUUAAGGUUAAUGCAAAACGUCAACCACGUAAGGACAGGAUCCCACCCUCCCCUCGGCCGCUAGCCGUGCUGCCCUAGUCCUCAGUCCUUGCCUCGCCGAAGUUUAUAUUUCCGUGGAGACAAGAAAAAUACUAGGUGAAGCAGGAAAACGCAGAGUGCGCGCGACGGAGAGAGAAGGGAAGGGAAACUCAGUAGGGAUCCGGCGCGGCGAUGAGGGCGGGGUCGCGAGCAGGUUCCUCUGAGCCUCCUCGCGGUCUCUCCCGCUUCCGAGUGAAGUGGAACGGAAAUUCGCGUACAAUGUUUUCUGCUAACCCAACGCACCCGGUGGUUGAUCUUGGCAGAACCCGGGCUAAGAGCAAUUCUGUCGGGGGAUUGAUGCUGUUCCUUGAAGCGCGCUUGAUUCACUGUCGUUUUGGAGGACUCGGCGAAAUUUAUAGGCGAAUCGGAGAAAAGAAAAAAAAAAUUGAGAGGAACGAUGAGCACAAGAAAUCUUGCCUGUGGAGGUGCCUGACUUUAAAGCUCAGAAACAAGAUGAAUGUAGCUAAACUCUAAAUCUCAUUAACAUUGUUGUAUUUUAAUCUGUUUGGCUCUUCUGCUUUUAUCGAAACAGUGAGCAAAGUAGAGGACAUGCUUUUUAGUGGUGGAGCCCACCGAGAAAUUUCCAAUCAUUGGUAUUAAUACUUUGUGCUCUCAGAGUGCUGGGGAAGGGGUGGGUGCCACUUCCUGGGAGAACGACUUGCUCAGGUGCCAUGGUGAACUGGGGACAACCCUCCAGGAAGGGAAGAUCCAGGGAAGAACAGCCGGCCAGCACCCCUCCUCACUUAGGGACCCUCCUCCUGUGGCUGCUAGGAGCUGGCUCUGUGUGUGUGCACACUCCUGAGGGGCACGGUGCCAGCUUUGCAUCUAAUGAGUGUUUUCUACCAGUCUUGGAAGGAACUUCCCAGGGCCCUUCCUGAGGCAUGAUCUUGUCUUUCACCUCUGACCCCAUCCCACUGGCCUGUUUCUAAGGUGAGAAGGAAGGGGUUGCAGGUUCCAUGAGAGGAAGAAGGAAGCCCAGGACCCUCUCCUUGCCCCUUCUGGAACCAAGCCCUGGUGGAGACCACUAAACAGCUGAACUCUGCAGAAGAAAGAAUUCAGAAGAGAGAUGGAGGUCAAGAAAGCAGAGUGAGGAUUUAGCAAGACCUUGUACACGUUCAAGGGGAGCGUUGCCAGACACAGCUUUUGUCUUGUUUCUGAAUUCUUUCUGUGACGAGACAAGAACCUAACCUCCGGGAACAAGGCCACUCAAGACGGCUGUGCUCUUGCUCUCUGUGCAUGCCCUGCCUGACCAGUGCCUGCCUCACCUGUACCCAUGCACCUGACUGACCAUCCUCCGUACUGGCCCCAGGCCCCAGCUGGUGACUGUUCUCAUCAAAGCAGGGUGGUGAAGGGUGUGCCUCUUGCUGGUUUCCCUGGGAACUAAUGAGCCAACCAGACAUCAGUUUCCCCCUAUUACUGGCAAUGUCCCUUUUCCCCUUGAGUGAAGCCUGCCGUCACGUCCUGCAGGCUCUUUGCUGCUUCACACAGUGGGGAAUUGCUCCAGGACCAGGCUUCAUACACGUAAGCUCCUGCAUCCACUAAACCGUCUCAGACUCCUGAGUUCUUUCUUCAGUCUUCAAACGGGGCAAGUACAGGCCUUGGAGGCCUGAGGAAUGCAGACAACAGUGGGGCAUGAUGGCUACAGAACUAAAAAUGCACGGCUCCCAACUUGCUGCCUUUAACUCGUGCAGGAAUGAGAGCUCAUAGCCAAGUGCAGUAACCAGCCUCUGAAACUGGUAGGCUGUGGACUGUCUCCUGGCCCGGCCUGAGUCUCAGCUCAGGGUCCCACCUGAGGGGUCCAGGCUCUGAAGUUAGGAGACACCUCAUUUUCUUCUUCUAAGCCUCAAGGUAAGCUUUUCUGGAAGACAUUGCACCAAGUUUUCUUAAAUGAUAAGGGACUUUAAACUGCCACAUGUUGAUGUGGGGAUAUUACUUGACACUUCUUUAUCCCAAAUUACAGCUGUUGUAAACUACUCUUAAAAAACAAAGAGAUAAAUCAUAAGCAUCUGC